rnacentral:rRNA from 1 species
CAAGUCGAACGAUUAAAGCUCUCUUCGGAGAGUGUAUAGAGUGGCGCACGGGUGAGUAACACGUAAGUAAUCUACCUUUGAGUGGGGAAUAACAGUCGGAAACGACUGCUAAUACCGCAUAAUGCAGCGGCAUCGCAAGAUGACAGUUGUUAAAGAUUUAUCGCUUGAAGAGGAGCUUGCGGCAGAUUAGCUAGUUGGUAAGGUAAUGGCUUACCAAGGCUACGAUCUGUAACCGGUCUAAGAGGACGGUCGGUCACACUGACACUGAACAACGGGUCAGACUCCUACGGGAGGCAGCAGUCGGGAAUUUUGGGCAAUGGGCGAAAGCCUGACCCAGCAACGCCGCGUGAAGGAUGAAGUAUUUCGGUAUGUAAACUUCGAAAGAAUGGGAAGAAUAAAUGACGGUACCAUUUAUAAGGUCCGGCUAACUACGUGCCAGCAGCCGCGGUAAUACGUAGGGACCAAGCGUUGUUCGGAUUUACUGGGCGUAAAGGGCGCGUAGGCGGCUUGACAAGUCACUUGUGAAAUCUCCGGGCUUAACUCGGAACGGCCAAGUGAAACUGUCAUGCUAGAGUGCGGAAGGGGCAAUCGGAAUUCUUGGUGUAGCGGUGAAAUGCGUAGAUAUCAAGAGGAACACCUGAGGUGAAGACGGGUUGCUGGGCCGACACUGACGCUGAGGCGCGAAAGCCAGGGGAGCAAACGGGAUUAGAUACCCCGGUAGUCCUGGCCCUAAACGAUGAAUACUUGGUGUCUGGAGUUUAUAGUGCUCCGGGUGCCGUCGCUAACGUUUUUAGUAUUCCGCCUGGGGAGUACGCUCGCAAGAGUGAAACUCAAAGGAAUUGACGGGGACCCGCACAAGCGGUGG